CAGUAGCCGCGGUAAAACGUAGGUCCCGAGCGUUGUCCGGAAUUACUGGGCGUAAAGCGUGCGCAGGCGGUGAUGUAAGACAGUUGUGAAAUCCCCGGGCUCAACCCGGGAACUGCAUCUGUGACUGCAUCGCUGGAGUGCGGCAGAGGGGGAUGGAAUUCCGCGUAUAGCGGUGAAAUGCGUAGAGAUGUGGAGGAAUACCAGUAGCGAAGGCGACUCUCUGGUCUGUAACUGACGCUGAGGUGCGAAAGCGUGGGGAGCAAACAGGAUUAGAUACCCCCGUAGUCCCUGUCUCUUAUAC
rnacentral:rRNA from 1 species